UACGGAGGGUGCAAGCGUUAUCCGGAUUCACUGGGUUUAAAGGGUGCGUAGGUGGGUUGGUAAGUCAGUGGUGAAAUCCCGGAGCUCAACUCCGGAACUGCCUUUGAUACUGGCGAUCUUGGAGUCCGGGAGAGGUGAGUGGAACUGCGAGUGUAGAGGUGAAAUUCGUAGAUAUUCGCAAGAACACCAGGUGGCGAAGGCGGCUCACUGGCCCGGUACUGACACUGAGGUGCGAAAGCGUGGGGAGCAAACAGG
rnacentral:rRNA from 1 species